rnacentral:rRNA from 1 species
AACGUAGGACACAAGCGUUAUCCGGAGUUACUGGGCGUAAAGGGCGUGUAGGCGGAUCAAUAAGUCUAUUCUGAAAGCUCCUGGCUAAACUGGGAGAGGCGAAUGGAGACUGUUGGUCUAGAGUGAGGAAGAGGAAAGUGGAAUUCCGCGUGUAGUGGUGAAAUGCGCAGAUAUCAGGAAGAACACCCGUGGCUAAGGCGGUUCUCUAGUACGGUACUGACGCUGAGACGCGAAAGCGUGGGGAGCGAACAGG